CUCGUCCUCGUCGCAAUUACGGGCGGCGUCCUAUACGUCCUCUACCGCCCCCAUCGCCCCUCAUUUUCUGUCUCCUCUCUACAAGUCUCCCAAUUCAACCUCACUUCCUCCUCUAAGCUCACCUCCAAAUUCAACCUCACCGUCACAACUCGUAAUCCCAACAAAAAGAUUACCUUCUAUUACAAUCCAAUCACGGUUUUAAUCACCUCAAACGGCGUUAACGUCGGCGCCGGUUCAAUUCCGGCCUUCACCCACGGAACCAAAAACACAACUACUCUGAAAUC
rnacentral:lncRNA from 1 species